GAUGAACGCUGACAGAAUGCUUAACACAUGCAAGUCAACUGUGGCGGACGGGUGAGUAACGCGUAAAGAACUGGCCUCACAGAUAGGGACAACAUUUGGAAACGAAUGCUAAUACCUGAUACUGUGAGAGGGCUUUGCGUCCCAUUAGCUAGUUGGAGAGGUAACGGCUCACCAAGGCGAUGAUGGGUAGCCGGCCUGAGAGGGUGAUCGGCCACAAGGGGACUGAGACACGGCCCUUACUCAUACGGGAAGCAGCAGUGGGGAAGAUUGGAAAAUGGACCAAAGUCUGAUCAAGCAAUUCUGUGUGGAAGAUGAAGUUUUCGGAAGGUAGAGUGCUUUCAGUUGGGAAGCGGUACCGACAGAAGAAGUACCGGCUAAAUACGUGCCAGCAGCCGCGGUAAUUC
rnacentral:rRNA from 1 species